AGAACGAACGCUGGCGGCGUGCUUAACACAUGCAAGUCGAGUGCGCGCCUGUAGCAAUACAGGUGGCGCACGGCGCACGGGUGCGUAACACGUGGGUAAUCUGCCCUCUGAUGGGGAAUAACUCGCCGAAAGGCGAGCUAAUUCCGCAUAAUAUUCCGGGAACUUAUGUUUCUGGACUGAAAGGCGUAAGUCGUCGGAGGAGGAGCCCGCGCACGAUUAGCUAGUUGGUAGGGUAAUGGCCUACCAAGGCUUUGAUCGUUAGC
rnacentral:rRNA from 1 species